rnacentral:rRNA from 1 species
GGCGAACGCUGGCGGCGUGCCUAAUACAUGCGAGUUGAGCGAUGAAGAUUGGUGCUUGCCCCAAUUUGAAGAGCAGCGAACGGGUGAGUAACGCGUGGGGAAUCUGCCUUUGAGCGGGGGACAACAUUUGGAAACGAAUGCUAAUACCGCAUAACAACUUUAAACAUAAGUUUUAAGUUUGAAAGAUGCAAUUGCAUCACUCAAAGAUGAUCCCGCGUUGUAUUAGCUAGUUGGUGAGGUAAAGGCUCACCAAGGCGAUGAUACAUAGCCGACCUGAGAGGGUGAUCGGCCACAUUGGGACUGAGACACGGCCCAAACUCCUACGGGAGGCAGCAGUAGGGAAUCUUCGGCAAUGGACGAAAGUCUGACCGAGCAACGCCGCGUGAGUGAAGAAGGGUUUCGGAUCGUAAAACUCUGUUGGUAGAGAAGAACGUUGGUGAGAGUGGAAAGCUCAUCAAGUGACGGUAACUACCCAGAAAGGGACGGCUAACUACGUG